UGAUCAGGGUCGGUUCAAGAAGAGGGAUGCCUUCAUGCCCUUCUCUGCAGGACGCAGAGUAUGCCUUGGAGAGAGUCUGGCCAGGAUGGAGAUCUUCCUCUUCUUCACCUCGCUCCUGCUGAAGUUCAGGUUCACUCCACCUCCUAGGUUGUCUGAAUCUGAUCUGGACCUCACUCCAGCUGGUGGGUUGGUCGCCAGCCCCCCCCGCACAUAAACUGUGUGCUGUAAACCGGGCUUGAUGCUCCUGAACCUUGAUGGUUUUUAUGUAGCUGAACUGCAAGAAAAUACAUGACUUUAACAAUCACAACAGAUAAAAUUAUCUGCUACAUACUGUAUCUGUUAGGGGUGUGAAUCAUUGGACCCCAAAGCAAUUCAGUUCCACUUUGAUUAUUGAUGGAAUGAUACAAUGUGAUUAAUCCAUUAUUCAAUUAUUCUAACAAACCUAAAUUUUAACCUUUUUGAUUUGACUGGGGAAAAAAAAUCAGAAAUAGUACCAUUGGAACUUAAUUACAGAGUGUUAACGGAAUUCAAAGAAAGCAGAAUCUCAAAAUAUUAUUUUUUAUUGUUUUAUUGUUAGAAAACGUCAGUGUAAAAUUGUCAAAAGGCCAGCAACUACAGUACAGACAAAUCUGAACCACAUUAAAGGAAGACUUACAGUAGAAAAAGGGGGAUGCAAGCAGAGGUCAUAGGCAGAUAUGAUAGCACAAUGAGGUGGUAGGACCCUAAAAAAACACAAAGGGCCAUCUGAGGGCCAGGUGCUUUUAAUCUGUGCAAUGAAUUACUUUGAUCUGUUUGCAGAUGUGUCUAGUAUUCAGAGGAAUCUCUGCAUGAGUGGCUGUUUGGCUACUUAGCUUGGUUCUGCUGUGAUAGAGGCAGAUCCCUACCUCCGUACACAACAAAAGGUAUAGUUACUGACUUCCUUGACAGCUUCUUCAAUCCCGAUUAAUUUUGGUAAAUUAAAUUGUUGCUCUGCCGUUAAUUGUAACGUCUCGUAAUAUUCCACUAUCUUCAUCAAACACUCAGGAAGCAGGGGUCCUGCUACUACCACAAUUAGAACCUCUUAAUGAGUGCAGUUAAUCUGUUCAGAGCUAGAAAUGAUAGCAAUGUAUACACACUCUUCAACGUAACCACAAUCCAACACUGCCCCCUUAUGACAUAGGGAAGAAAUGUCAGUUCCUCCCCCACAAGGAUGGGAUCUGAUUCAGGAGGAUGCUAUAGAGUAGCAGAGAUUCAGAGUAGCAGAGACCAGAUUACAUAGUACAUUUUAAAUACUUGCCCCCCACCCAGAAAUGGGGUUAAUUUUGGAGAAGACUAUGAAAUUGUGCUUACUUUCAGAAUAUUGUUCGAGAAUAUUGCAAACCAGGCCACAGUGUGUGUCAGGUGUAGCAAUUGCACACAGGCAGCCUUUCAUGGCAGUGGGUUAAAUGAUGACGUCUCUAAUGUCACACACCUUGAGGGUCAUGUGAUAGUCAAGCAGUGGUUCAAGCUCAUUCAAUCCAACAAAGAGAUUCUGAGUAAUUUGAGGCUAUUGUUGAUGUCACACCUAUUUCAGAUGACAGGAGACUGAGAAAGCUACAAUCGGUAACAACUUCUAUAAUGAUUUCCAAAGAAAGCUCAUUGUGUCAGACAGGACAGCUGUUAGUGUAUAAGAAUCAGUGUAAAUGAACAUUCCUCACUUCUGCAGUGUCCAGCCUUGGUUGUAACCUAUGUGGGAUGAUUCUGCGCAGGAUGUCAACUACAUGUGUGGGGACCAGGACAGCCCCUGGGAAUUCUCCCAAUUCUCAAGAUUCUCCAAUCCAGCUUUGUAUGCAGGCCCUGAUGUCGGCAGGUUUAGGACAAAGAUUUGAAAAGAGAAACCUUUUACUUCUCAUCAUCCAAGCUUCUACUAACCCACCGCUACAUUAUAAACUUCAUUUCGGCUCUU